rnacentral:rRNA from 1 species
AUUGAAUGCUGGCGGAAUGCUUUACACAUGCAAGUCGAACGGCAGCACGGGGGCAGCCCUGGUGGCGAGUGGCGAACGGGUGAGUAAUACAUCGGAACGUGCCCGGUCGUGGGGGAUAACGUAGCGAAAGUUACGCUAAUACCGCAUACGAUCUGAGGAUGAAAGCGGGGGACCUUCGGGCCUCGCGCGAUCGGAGCGGCCGAUGUCAGAUUAGGUAGUUGGUGGGGUAAAGGCCUACCAAGCCGACGAUCUGUAGCUGGUCUGAGAGGACGACCAGCCACACUGGGACUGAGACACGGCCCAGACUCCUACGGGAGGCAGCAGUGGGGAAUUUUGGACAAGGGGCGCAAGCCUGAUCCAGCCAUUCCGCGUGCAGGACGAAGGCCUUCGGGUUGUAAACUGCUUUUGUACGGAACGAAAAGGCUCUGGCUAAUACCUGGGGCUCAUGACGGUACCGUAAGAAUAAGCACCGGCUAACUACG